rnacentral:rRNA from 1 species
AUUGAACGCUGGCGGCAGGCCUAACACAUGCAAGUCGAGCGGAUGAGUGGAGCUUGCUCCAUGAUUCAGCGGCGGACGGGUGAGUAAUGCCUAGGAAUCUGCCUGGUAGUGGGGGACAACGUUUCGAAAGGAACGCUAAUACCGCAUACGUCCUACGGGAGAAAGUGGGGGAUCUUCGGACCUCACGCUAUCAGAUGAGCCUAGGUCGGAUUAGCUGGUUGGUGAGGUAAAGGCUCACCAAGGCGACGAUCCGUAACUGGUCUGAGAGGAUGAUCAGUCACACUGGAACUGAGACACGGUCCAGACUCCUACGGGAGGCAGCAGUGGGAAAUAUUGGACAAUGGGCGAAAGCCUGAUCCAGCCAUGCCGCGUGUGUGAAGAAGGUCUUCGGAUUGUAAAGCACUUUAAGUUGGGAGGAAGGGCAGUAAGUUAAUACCUUGCUGUUUUGACGUUACCAACAGAAUAAGCACCGGCUAACUUCGUGCCAGCCGCCGCCGUAAAAC